CGGUUGAUCCCGCCGGACCUGACUGCUAUCGGAUUGAUACUAAGCCAUGCGAGUCAUUGUAGUAAUACAAGGCAGACGGCUCAGUAACGCGUAGUCAACCUAACCUAUGGACGGGAGUAACCUCGGGAAACUGAGUAUAAUGCCCGAUAGAACAUUAUGCCUGGAAUGGUUUAUGUUCCAAAUGAUUUAUCGCCGUAGGAUGGGACUGCGGCCUAUCAGUUUGUUGGUGAGGUAAUGGCCCACCAAGACUAUUACAGGUACGGGCUCUGAGAGGAGUAGCCCGGAGAUGGGUACUGAGACACGGACCCAGGCCCUAUGGGGCGCAGCAGGCGAGAAAACUUUGCAAUGUGCGAAAGCACGACAAGGUUAAUCCGAGUGAUUUGUGCUAAACGAAUCUUUUGUUAGUCCUAGAAACACUAACGAAUAAGGGGUGGGCAAGUUCUGGUGUCAGCCGCCGCGGUAAAACCAGCACCUC
rnacentral:rRNA from 1 species